CAGCCCCUCGAGUGGUGGGGAUGAUUAUUUGGCCUAAAGCGUCCGUAGCCGGCCGAGCAAGUCUUCCGUUAAAUCCAGCGUCUCAAGCGUUGGACCGCGGGAGAUACUACACGGCUAGGGAGUGGGAGAGGUCAGCGGUAUUCUGGGGGUAGGGGCGAAAUCCUUUGAUCCCCGGAGGACCACCAGUGGCGAAGGCUGCUGACUAGAACACGUCUGACGGUCAGGGACGAAAGCUGGGGUAGCGAACCGGAUUAGAUACCCGCGUAGUCC
rnacentral:rRNA from 1 species